AUGGGUUUCAGCCAUCUCACCUACCACGUUAGAAAAAGAGAUGCAGAGACAAGAAAACUAAACCUGGGAGCCUGGCACUAUCGGAGGAAGCGGGCUCCUCUGGAGUUGGGCUUGGGCCACCGUGCCCUGGAACGCUGGCUCCAAAAGGCAGAGGUGGAACAGGGACAAGUCUUAAGGAAAAGUCACCAACUAAACCCCGGGCAGGUGGCUGGGUUAAAGGAUUAUCAGACUCCACCCUCCCGGGCUCCUUCUCCCUAUAUUAUUGGGCUGUUUCGGAUACCAGUAAGGCAAAAUUCAAACGAAACACUCUUCAGCUUGAGAGUAAAUCAGCAAGGAAGAUUUCACCUGGGGCUGUCAGGUAGAUGGAAAGUAUUGACUAAAAUGGGGGGGAGGGGUGUGUGUGCUUUUCAUGUAUCUCGGUUUUUGUUCCUUCACCAUGAAGCGACGUGUGCCGAGGUCCAGCUUCCCUUCUACAGUGGCUGAUGGCUUUCUACACCCUCACCACCCAACUUACUGUUUCAUUGUUGGGCGCUUGCCAGCUCCACGCAGCAGCGAAGCACCCACUCCCUAAGUAAAGCAAAGGUGACAGGUCCCCAGCACAGGCGGCAGGUAACCCCCACAGAGGGGAGCAGCAAAGCCUCAUACACUCCCUGCUCCUCCACAAAGCUUUCCUGUUUUAUCACCUGUGCCUCUUACCUCCUGAGCGCUCACCUUGCCUCCUGACACCUGGCUUCUCUAGCCAUAGAGGGCCACAUGCUCCUAAGAAGUCCUCCUUCCCCGCUUGCCCAGCAGCAGUCACAGGACAAGCCUGCUCUCCCCCUGCUUCUGCUGGGUCAAGAGGCUCCCAAGAGCUCUGUCUGGGUCUUGUUUCAACCUCACUUGCCCCAGGAGCCUAUCUGAAGUGGGGUUUGUGGCUCAGAAAAUGACAUGUGAAAAACACAGAAGCCACAGUUCUUUCUAAAUAAACUCUGCGCAUCCCCAAAAUCAACUUGCACUCUUCACCCCGGCGGCCUUUUCUUCUUUCUCAUCCUUAUCGGAAAGGAAGUGUAGGAAAGGAAGUGUAUAUAUGCUGAGUGAGCACCUCUCCUUUGCUGGGAAUCUGUUCUGAACGCUUGUGGUGUGAGAUUUCCUCAACAAGAUGCUUCAGGACAAACACCCUCGCUGCAAGCCCUGCUCUUAUUCACCUCUUUCCUCCCAGCUCACCUGGGAAGGGGCUUUUUCCAGGUAGAGAUUUGGCUUUUGCAUGUCAGAGGGGGCACCUGAGCCUGGGUAGAACCCCAGCGAUAAUUUUGUGCUUUAAAAAGCUAAAAAAAAAAAAGGCACAUAAAACGGAAGCUGGUACAUUUCCUGAGGCAGUUCAGUCCCACAAGUUGGGAUGGCAGAAAAACGGUGUCACGUUCUUAGAAAGAAAGAGGGACACUUCAGCACCACUAGCCAAGCCCCCAAGAUUCGCACUAGAAGAAAGCUCACCACCACCACCCACAGAUACACAAGCACCUUCUCUUGGGACACCCCGUUCCUGCCCCCCAGCUAACCCCAGGAGACAAAAGUCCCCUCCUGGGGGCUCCUGAAUGCGACCCACAGUACCUCUUGGCAAGGACGAGAUGAGAAGGAGCUGCAGGAAAGUAAGCCCCAGCUGCGGCCACCAGCCCAGCUCCAUCGUUCCCUCGGCGGUGCCCGGAGUGACUGCUGGGGAGGGACCGAGGCAGGCCGGCGGGCAGGCGGCUCCUACGCGGACCUCCCCAAGCCCCAGCUGAGCGGGAGCUCGGGUUUCAGCUCGCCAGGCUCUCCCAUCCUCAUCCGAGGGGAACCACCUUCAGCCGGCGCGACGUCAGCCCAAACCUCUCCUCUCUGCGGCCGCCUUAACCCUUGCGGAGCCCGGGGAGGUGUGGCCACGCGGGGAGGCCCCGGGCUGCGGCUGGAAGGGGAGCUGCGGGGCACAGAGGCCCGCCCAGGUCCGGCUGGGCUCCCCCAGGCGGUGAGGGCAGGGGAGAAGCCCGCAGGACCCUGAAUGGGGGGCGGAGGUAGCCGGGGCUGCGCCCCCUACCCCCCCAGCACCUCCCCCCCACCUUAGGUGAGGUCUGAAGCCCCACCCCCACCUCCAGCCCGGAUGGGAGGUCCAGUGCCUGCCUUGACUGCACACAGAGUCCGCCAGAUUAAACGCCUGGCCUUGGGGGAGGGGGUGAGCGGGAGAUGGGAGAAAAGCAGUCAACCUGUCUCCCCCCUCCACCUGUAUCCCCAGUCUCCUUCCUGCCCAGCGUUUGCUCCCAGCACUCAGUCUGGAAACCUUAUCCUUUGCCUCUAUAGGCUACUGGGGGUAUUCUGCAUGGACCCACAGCGCCCAUUAUGGUGAGUUCAGCAGCUUAAAGAGCUCCUGUCACAUGCCAGGCAGGGUACUGGGCUCAGGGAUAAAAGAACACGCAGGCAUUUUCCCGGUAGUGAGGGCGUUCAGUCUAGGUAUGGAGAUAGCAAAUGAGACGUUGAAGUGAGGAGGAAGGAUGUGUUACAAGAUAACAGCUGACAUUCUUGAUCAAUUUCUCUGUGCCAGGCAUCUGAGUACCAUACAUGUAUCAACUCAUUUAUUCCUCAUAAUACACCUGUCAUUCAGUCUUACAGAGACAGAUAACUGGGGUAUGAGAAUUCAAUAGCUCAUCCAAGUAAAUGGCAGAGCCAGGGUUUGAACCCAAGCAGCUUGGGUCCAGAAGCUACAAUCCCAGCCAGCAGGCACACUGCUUCUUAAAAUUCUGUGUAUGCAGUGUUUUAUUUAGCCAUUAUAGUCACCAUGUACAGUAGAUGGCACUGUCCCCGUAGUAUGGAUGCCAAAACCAAGACUCAGAGAUGAAAUGACUUGUUCAAGGUCACUUGGCUGGAGCUGUCAGAGUAGGAUUGACACCCAGGUCUAACUCAGGGAAGCGCUGGGGUUUCAGGACAUGCUUGAUCUCAGUUUGUGAGGUCAGAUGAAGAACCGAGGUUGGGAGGAGUGAUCAUUUAGGCCUAGAUCACUGGGAGGCUUCCCAGAACUGGGGAAGCUUGAGCUGGGACCAGAGAGAGGCAGGAUCUCAAUCUAUGGAGGGAGUGGGGGAGGUCUUUCUAAGAAAAAGGGCUGAGUUCAUCUAGUGCCACUGGGAAAUAAAUGACUAUUUACAUGUUUAAUUAAAGGAUACUUUUUUCCUUUAAUUAUCCUUUCUUCAAAGGAUCCAUGACAAUGUAAACGAUUAAAAUGAAUUUUAGACACACACACGCACACACACACAUAUAUGGAAUCUAGAAAGAUGGUACUGAUGAACCUAUUUGCAGGGCAGUAAUGNNNNNNNNNNNNNNNNNNNNNNNNNNNNNNNNNNNNNNNNNNNNNNNNNNNNNNNNNNNNNNNNNNNNNNNNNNNNNNNNNNNNNNNNNNNNNNNNNNNA
ensembl:lncRNA